CGUUUCCUUCAAACCCACCACAAACCCUUACCUAAUUAAUGAAGGGCGAACUCAACUGGCGUGGCGUCUGGCGAAGGAAUAGAAGGUUGAACUGCACAAAACCACCACAAACUCUUACGGCUUACGGUACCUAAGCGCUAUUGCUACUGGCCUGCUACGCUGCUGCUGGCGAGACUCUGAGAGGGUAGAAGAUAGGAAGACGCCGAAGAGUCUGCAACGCAUUUCUUGGUGAGGGUCAGAUGAGCCCGCAUUUCUUUCCUCUCUCACUCUUAUAUUUUUGGUUUUAUUUUUGUUCUAUCAUCUAUGUGGUGACUAUGUGAAUAAUGUGAUAAUGUGAUUAUGUGAAAUGUGAAUGUUGAAACUUGAAUGUUGAAUUGUUGAUUGUUAUUGUUGAGUUUGCUAGUUGCCGGUUAUAUUGUUGGUGUUGGACUUGGGUGAAUGGAUUAUGAAACUUGCCAAUUGCCAUGUUAUUGUCGUAUUUUGGGUUGUAUUGAACUAUAUUUUCAUAUGUAUAUAAUUUUUACAUUUUAAUGCAUCUACAUAUAUGUUGAAUAAUUUUUAAUAGUAUUUAAUUAAAUUUUAAUAAACGUUCGGUCGUCGGUCAGACCGGGCUACUGUGAUCGCUGAUUGUCGACGUUCAAUUGUCAAAGUCAACCUUCACCGUAACUGUAAGUUUGUGAUGGAUUCGCCUCUGUCUGAGACACCAGGGAGAUGGCGAAUUUGCUUAUUUCAUUUCAUUGUUGUUUGUUUAUAUUUUUAACCAGAAUCCGCACCAACUUGUUUUAGUAACAAAAAAGUCAUUAGUAAAUAGGCCAUUUCUUUAAUAUCCUGUGUUAAAUCUUUAUAUACUCAUCUUUGGACCUCUUUUUUUUUUUUUCCUUUUUUUCUUUUUCCAUUUUGGUGUAUUGUUAAGAGCGGACAAUUUUUAUUUCAGGAAGAUUAGCCAAGGGAUUGUAUGCACAAAAUGCUUGCACAGAUGCGUAAUGCCAUCGUUUGAAUGAAAUUAGCCAAGGUACAAGAUUGCAUGCUGUAGUAUUAUGGGACCAAUAGGGCCCUUCGAAAAGGUUCCAUUCAUUUCUCCACAAUAACAUUAUCUUAAAGAAAGUUCGUACUUUCGGCAAAAAAGGACCACCAUCACUAUGAUGCCUCGAGUCGUAGUGAUCCAAGUGCCAAAUGUACCUAUAUGUAUGGAUAGUAUAAACUGUCCAAAUAAAAAUAAUUGAAUAGAGAACAAUGGGUUUAGACAAAAGCACUUCCAUCACCCUCAUUUAUAAUUUCAGUUGAAUUUCUACAAGUUAGUUGCAAAUGUUGUAGGUGGAAAAUAUAAGCUAUUUGAAGAAGGAAAAGACUACUUGUCCAGGGCCCAUGUGGUUCCGGACGUAUAGCAUCCCUUGAUUCCCUUAUUUGAAAAGGAGAUUUGUAAUUAAGUAUACCAAAUGGAAGAGUCAAGCCUGCUUCAUUUGAAGCAGAAAAAUAAUUGAUUGA
rnacentral:lncRNA from 1 species